rnacentral:rRNA from 1 species
UACGUAGGGGGCAAGCGUUGUCCGGAUUUAUUGGGCGUAAAGAGCGUGUAGGCGGCCAGACAGGUCAGCUGUGAAACUCGAGGCUCAACCUCGAGACGUCGGUUGAAACCGUCUGGCUAGAGUCCGGAAGAGGAGAUUGGAAUUUACGGUGUAGCAGUGAAAUGCGUAGAUAUCGUAAGGAAGACCGGUGGCGAAGGCGGAUCUCUGGACAGUUACUGACACUGAGGCACGAAGGCCAGGGGAGCAAACGGG